UGACAAGCAACAGCCGAAAAGUGUUUAUUUUUCCCAGCUCCACUAAACGUCUCAGCAAGGUCGGUUUUGUGUCGACUCGGCUUGCCAACUUUCGAGUCUUUGAGCGUAGCGACACCAGCAUCUUUCAGGCGUUGGAAAAACAGAAGGUCGGAGAAACUCAGUCGAAUCGGGCUGAAAUGGUUCUCCCCAGUCGAUGCUUUGGCCCGGAAAUACCUGAAGGCUUACGUAUGACUCUGAAGACUCUGAGGACCAUGGGUCUGAAGCUGGGAACACAGUAUGUAUUUAUCCGAAUGGUUUGGGCAUCAGUGCGAGCAAGAUGUCUUCAAGUGGGCUUACAAGCAUUGAUGCCAAGAAGGGACUCCUCCUCCUCAAGGUCUACCAGUCCGGUCCAGUUGGACGGAGAAUGGUCACUAUCACCUGAGGAUCCCAGAGCGAGAAGGAGCUGGAAACGUGGUGGGUGGUGAGUCCUGCUGUGGAAAAUGUGGACUCCAGGCUUGUUCCCUCCGCAGUCCAGGCGAGGGAGGCUGACCGGGUAGCGGACGCUGCCGUCGGAGAGCCAACCCGGGGCGCAGCUAUCCAGGCCGGCCUUCCAUGCCAGAUAAAGCUGCCCCAUAGUGGCCAGCUGGCCCCCCAGGGACACGCAUCGGUCUGAUGCUGAAGACAGAGACAACCUGCCAGGAACCGAGGCGUGAAACACUUCGCCUACAGGCCGGAAAUAGAAUAGAAAGACAGAUCGACACUAGACAGGAGCUCAUUUAAUACCUGCAUUCAAAAGGUUUGACACAGUAAGGGGGGAAGAAAAACAUGUUUCUUAUACUUUUUUACCAAUUGUCCCUGUUGAGGCACAAAUAGUGGACUAUUUUUAGCAGCACGUUGAACAGCAAGCGCCGCAGUAGCAGGAAG